GUAAUGCGGAGGUGGCUUGUGCACCGGCGGCGGCGGUGACUUGUACUUGUAAACCGGUGGCGGUGGUGACUUAUAGACCGGUGGUGGUGGUGGAGACUUGUACUUGUAUGGCUUUGUUGGUGGAGGAGGCGACUUGUACACCGGUGGCGGUGGUGACUUGUACUUGUAAACCGGAGUUGGUGGUGGUGGUGACUUGUACACUGGUGGAGGCGGUGAUUUGUAUUUGUACAUCGGCGUGGGUGGUGGUGGUGACUUGUACACCGGUGGCGGUGGCGACUUGUACUUGUACACCGGAGUCGGAGGUGGGGGUGGAGAUUUAUAAUUGUAUGGUUUUAUUGGCGUAAGGAGAAACCUUCAAGACAAAAGAGAAUUCAAAUUUACAUUCCCUUUUGCUAACCAAACAAAAAAUCAAAUACUAUCUUAGCGAAAGCAAUGAAUAUACAUUGGAUAUUCACAAAGGAUCGUACUUGAAUAUAAAAACAGAGAGGCAAAUUGUAAAUGCUCCUAACCUUUCUCCCAGAACCGUCGAGAAAGAAGACGGGAUAAUCAAGGGAUUCGGGUUGGCCCUCCUGUUUGAUCUGGAGAUCGCCUGGAUUGUAUAUAGCCUUACAGCUGAAGGACCUCUUCGCCAGCGAAAAAGACAAGUGUUUCUUGCUGAAACGAAGGCUCUGCCUUGAUUUGUAAGCGAAUGGCCGUAAGCAAGAAGCUGGGGUGGCCGUGUUGGCCGCAGCCGCCAGUGCUCUUACCGCCGUCGCCAUAGUUAGUUUCUGCGUUUCUUCUGUGUGGCUGCUGUCUAAUCACUCAGUCGUCAGUUGGCUAAGAAAGAGAGAGACACAGAGCGAAGUAGGUGAGAUAGGGGAGACAAUAUUUUCUUAUACAGCAACUUCAAUUAUUGCUAAGCCAAUUGAUUCUUUUUUACUUUACUUAAACCGAUUCAGGAUUAAUUCCUGAUUUCAAAAAUUUUUUGUUUCGAAUCUACUCCCACGCUUAUAGAGUUUAAAAAAGAAAAUCUCUACAAAAAAUACCACAUCCAAUCAGUAAAUUUUGAUCAAAUCACACCUUCAUGUAAAAACCACUAAAAUUGCUAUAAAAAAUAUCAUAUCCAACUGAUAGGUUUUAAUCAAUCCACCCGUGUAGACCGCUUGAAGUUAGCUGAGUUCUUGACAGUUCCAACUCACAGUGAUCAUUGCAAAAUAUAAAAAGUUAGUUGCCAAAACUUAGAAGUUAUUCCGUCUAAUUGAUUUAUUUUUAGCUCACCCACGUUCAGAGGUUGAUUUAUGGGAUGUUUAAAAAAGUCACGAUUCAGGAUAAUUUUGAUCAUGAUCCGUAAAUUCAACUACAUAUUUAAAACACCUAAAAAACUGAUUUAUUAAAUGACAAAUAACGCUGCAGGGACUCAACUUGAAAGAAUUUUGAAAACUUCAUUCAAAUAUAUGAACCAACAACAUAAAAGACACUUGAUUUCUUUAUUAAAAGCGAAAACUGCCACAACUUAGUUCAACAUGAAAAGUAGGGAUGGCAUCUGGGUUGGCCCGCGAUGGGUAACCAUGUACUCAUAAUUCACAUAACAAUACUAAUAUUUUCAUAACGUGUUUUUUAUAUUAUAUUUUAUAAAGGAUAAUUUAGUAAUUCAUUAAUAUAAUUUUGAUUGUUAGGAUCGGGGUGUAACAAUGUUUACGAUUAUUUCGAGUUCGGCUCAGCGUAAUUUUAGAUCCGAUUCAGUGUUUUGGUGUUUCGACCCAAUUAUCGAAAUAUAUUAAUCAUAAUUUUAGCUCAAUACUCCCAUUUAUUAAUAUUAAUUAUGAAAAAGCAUCAAUAACACAUUCAAUCUAUAAAUUAGUUACUUAAUAUAUAAAUUUCAAUUCGAAAUUCGCUGGCUCCAGGUUCUCUAGCGAGGAUCUUACUUGGACAUUGAUCAUCUUCCACCAUACUAAGUUUGUAACUUUUUGUAUCACUGGUCCCACUUAUACCUACACUGGUGCGGAUAUCAUCUGGACCGUUUUGGUCACUAGAGCACUGGUGGUGGUCGUCGUUAUCACCUCCAUGUGUUUCUCCUCUAUAACAAUGGACGUUCAGUUCUAGAGCAACAUCUCACUCUUCAUGCACCCCAUCGUUACCCUCCUCAGGGGACAUGUUUCGAUAGAUCGGGCUAUUAGUUCCAUGGCUUGCAACUUUUGAUGGAAAAAAAUACUAUACAAUUAUAAUUUUGUAAAGAUAAAUAAAUCAAGGGCAGCGGCAGGCCGGCGAUCGGCAACAGUAUUGGGCUCUGCAAAUUGGGACUGGAACCAUUAUCAUGACCACCGAUUAAAAAUGGAGGAAGAACAUUGGGCACCCUUUGGAAACAUAUAAUGGGUUUAUUUGGUUUAGCCAACUCGUCGGCUUUUCUUCUUACCGCUUCCUUUCCAUCUUUGCCUUCUUUCUCGACUUCGCACCUUUCCUCUUCCUCCCUCAGUCCUCGUCUCUGCAUCGGUAAGCUAAGCUUUUGAAGCAAACAAGACACGUCGGCUUGCCGUUUAAUCAACUCUUUCAUCUGUCUUUCCAUUUCCCAGGGAGCAAGAAGAUUGUGGCUCGCGCGCGAAAUCUCGAUCAUAAUUUGGAACAGGAGCUACUGGGUGAACUGAUGGAAUCCGACAAGGUUGUUAACUCUCAGGGUUUGAAUCGGAGCCUCUACCCUCCUAUUGAGCCUUAUGAUACUGGGUUUCUGAAAGUGUCGGAUCUUCACUCCAUCUACUACGAGCAGUCUGGAAAUCCGAGUGGUCAUGUGGGUUAACUUCUUUUCUUCAUCCGUCUUAAUAUUUUAUUUAUUUUUAACUUUUUGCUGAAUAGGAAAAUCUUGAACUGGUACUGAGUUUGUUAUGUGUAUCUUUGUAUUGAAUCAUUAAAACUAGUUUUCUUAGCAUCAUUAUUAGCUCUCAAAAUUCGAGCUUGUGCUUCUUGCAGCCAGUUGUUUUCCUUCACGGUGGUCCUGGUGGAGGAACUGCGCCCAGCAAUAGAAGGUUCUUUGAUCCAGAAUUUUACAGAAUCGUUCUCUUUGAUCAGGUAAGGUAUUCUUGCUGGUUAGAACUGUGGUUGUGACUUGUGCUCAUUUAUGUGUUAACGGGCAUCUUUUCAAUCAUUCCAUAAAAUCACAGUACUUACAUUUUUCUAGAGAGGUGCUGGGAAAAGUGUACCCCAUGCUUGCUUGGAGCACAACACCACUUGGGAUCUUAUUGACGAUAUUGAAAAACUUAGAGAAUACUUAAAAAUCCCAGAAUGGCAGGUACAAUUUUUAUCUGGUUAAGUGCGAGUAAACAGCACCUCAUAUUUAUAUGUAGCAGAUUAUGUAUUAAAGCCUGAAGGAUUAGAUGUUUAUCACCCUGUAGGUCUUUGGUGGUUCAUGGGGAAGCACGCUUUCCCUUGCUUACAGCCAAUCUCAUCCUGACAAGGUGGGUGUUUUCAUAAAAAUAUCCAGAAUAUGUACAGAUGGAAGUCAUAUUGUAAAAUAGAUUUUAUCAUGAUCAUUAUUUCUGUUCUGCAAUUUAAUCAGGUGACUGGCUUGGCCCUCAGAGGAAUUUUUCUUUUGCGAAAGAAGGAAAUUGAUUGGUUCUAUGAGGGUGGGGCUGCAGCAAUAUUCCCUGAUGGUAUGCCAACUUACAACUCUGGUGAUAGUUAUACUGCUGUUUCGCCACACAUGAAUGAUGAUCUUAUGCUCUUAGUUUUCUUAAUAAUAGCUCAUUAAGUUUACUUGUGCAAUUAUGAAAAAUCGGUUGACUAGCUUAGUUGUCUACUUCUGUACCCUAUAGAAGAGUUUACAGCCAGAGAACUACUACAUUUUUUUGGAAGGUGAGAUAUGCAAGACUAACGUUGUCAUAUGUGUCAUGAACUUAGAUUUUCCCAUCAGAUAUAUCGAGUCUAAAUCAACCUGUUGUCUGUUGUGCUUUGUUGUGGGAAUUAAUAGCCGCAGUCAAACUUGAGAAGCACCCUUAAUGAUCUGCAUUGUAAACUGUAUAUUCAGACUGUGUUGUUUCAGAACUUUGCCCAUCUUUUGAUAUGAUUGAGCUAUAUGGUGUCAUUUGAUUGGCCUUGACAAACAGCUUGGGAGCCAUUUAGGGACCUGAUUCCAGAAGAUGAAAGAGGGUCUUUUGUUAAUGCUUACAGCAAGAGACUGAACUCCGAUGACAUGGAAACUCAAGUAAGAAUGUAUGAAAUAUGUGUUCGUGUUGUAUAAAACGUUGUGAACUUGGGAAUGUUCUGAAAACACUGCCGUUAUCCCAUCUGGUUCUCACAUUUUCAAUCGUAAAGCUUUUGUAAAUGACAAUGCUUUGUCACUUGCCGUACUGCUUGUAUUCAUUACCAUCCAUUUUGGUUAGCAUGCAGCUGCAAAAGCUUGGACCAAAUGGGAAAUGAUGACCGCCCAUCUUGUUCCACUUGAGGACACCAUCAAGAAAGGGGACGAUGAUAUGUUUUCUCUGGUAUUUAAACAGAAGCAUCGAAAAUUCCUUAUCAUGAUUCAUCUUGUCGCAUUGACAUAUCUUACUGACAUUUUAUGACUCUCAUUAUCGUGCUUGCUCCAAUGCACUCAGGCAUUUGCGAGGAUAGAAAACCAUUACUUCAUUAACAAGGGGUUCUUCCUGUCAGAUUCAUAUCUCUUAGACAAUGUGGAUAAGAUCCGGCAUAUCAACACCACAAUUGUACAGGUAUGAACAACAGAAUGUCUACUUCUUCACAAUGAUCUAUACUGUAAAAUUGGCUAUAGAAGAAAUUGAUGAUGAUUUUUCGCAAUUGAUUGGAACUCUGUCGCAGGGGAGGUACGAUGUAUGUUGUCCUAUGAUGUCUGCUUGGGAUCUGCACAAGGCAUGGCCGGAAGCAGAAUUCAAGGUAGUUGAUCCGUCUCUAAAGUUCAGAGUCUAAACAACUAGAAAUAUUAAUGCGUCAAAAUUCAGUUUCUAAUCAGAAAGAACACUUUGGAACAGAUUGUAAAGGAUGCAGGGCACUCUGCGAAUGAAGCGGGGACAACUGCGGAGCUUGUUGCUGCAAAUGAAAGGCUGAAAAAUAUACUUAGAAACAAGUAGUGAAGCUCAAGGUGUGAAGUAAGAGAGACUGUUGUUUCACUUUGUAGUGUGCUCGGAUUGAUGUGUGAAAUGACUUGAUUAUCCUUUUAAUUAGACCCUUAGAUCUUGGACGUUAAAUGAAUGGUGUAGAUUUAUCCUUGCUUUGCAAAUGACUUAUUCAUCCUUUUAGUUUAGACCCUUAGAUCUUGGAUUUUCAAUGGUCUAGAUUUAUCCUUGUUGUCAUCGAAGGAAAAGGCCGUGAGCCCGUGCUUGAGCAUCUUGUUCGAAGCGAGACCUACUUUCUCUAACGGCUACUUACAGUCUGACUGACACUUCAAACCAUUUCAAUAAAGAACUUUCUCCUCGACUCGCCAUUAACUCAAACACACGUUAAGAGGAAAAAAAGCCAUCAGCCAGCCACUACCACGCUCCUUUCUCUCUAACGGUCGGAAACCGAUGGCGGACGAAUCACUGUCACUUUCGUUUCUCUCUUCGCGGUCAGGUGAGUACCCGGAAGUAGAAGAGGAAGACUUCUACGAAAAAAUCGAAGCGCCCAAGUACAGCGACCUCACUAAGCCUGAUCCCCGCCGCUCCGGCGACGAUCGCCACUGGUUCUGCCUCCGUGUCGGUGAGUGCUGUUUUGGUUUUACUUCCCUAAUUUCAUGUUUUGUUUUUUCUUUUCCUUUCCAAGUUAGGGCUCUUCAGCUUGACCAAAAUCUUCAAACUUCUGGCUGCCCAUGUUGAAAUCUUACAAUUCAGAUCCGAAACUAUAUGAUGGAUUUCAAAUCUAAUUUGUGGAUCUGCUUGAUUGCUGAGAAAUUGUUCAAGGGGGGAGAUGAAAGUAGCUCGCCCUAGCUGUGUGAAUUUUGGAACAAUUUGAUACAGAAUUUCUCAGAGUUGGAAUUUGUUGCUUGUAGGAUGUGAUCAAAAGCACGAAGAAGAAAUGGACUCUGAAGCUAUAUACAAGAAUUUCGUUCUUAGAGUAAGUUGAUAUUGAUAAUAAUAAUAGUAAGUUUUCGCCCAUCCUCAUUUGUCAGACUGAAAGAAAUUGAAGCUGGUUAUCAAACUGAUCUCCUGCAGGUCAUGGCUGCUAGGAGUCCUAAUGUCAGGCUUCGGAAAGCAUUAAGUAACAGAGACAAAAGGUAUACUAGUUAGCAUAUAUAUAUAUGUACAUCACCAUUGUUUUGUAGACUUAUUUUCUGUUUUUCCCCUUUGUUUUUGUUCAUGGCAACAGCUCCAAUCUGAGAUGUCCACAGACAGUACCGGCAAAGCCUUCCAGACCGAGAAUGGAAAGACUGGCAUUGAUCUCAUCGAUAUCUAAGAAACUAGUCGACAAUACGACAGUGAAAGUGAAGAAGCCACUCGCUACUACUAAACAGAAUUCGACUCCAAACGUAAAGGCAAAGCAACCUUCCACUCUAGGCAAAGCUCUUACGACUCCUAGGAACAGGAGACCUGCGUUCCAAGAUCCAGCUGCAUUCAGAAGUGUUCGGAACCCAAAGGCAACAACCGCUCCUGGAUUGCCAAAGAAGAGGGAAGUGGCAAAGACUCUGGUGUUUGAUUCCCCUAAGAAGCAAGCUAGGACGAAGACUCCACCGAUUGAAAUGGACAGUGUGAAGACUUUGUGUGGAGGGAUGAAGAAGAUUAAGAUCACAGAUCAAAAGAAGCAAGUGACUAGGAGUAAAAUGGUGCCGUUGGAUUGUCCGCAGAAACAAUUUAGGGGACGGGAGGUGAAAAGCCGAGUUUACGAUGGACUGCAUACUCCAAUCAAAGUAUGUAAGCAAGCCGGAGGAUCUUCCAAGUGUUCAGAGGAGAAGAACAAGGUAAGAAGCACCACACAGCAGAACUCUGGUCCUGCACCGUCCCACAUGGAGAUUGAAGAGAAAUGCAACAACGGCCCUCAAGUUGAAGUCACAAUGAGGGAGGAAGAGAAAGAAACUAAAUUGGCUUCUAAUAGUAGCGAAAACCAAUGUGAAGCAGUAGAGGGUGACGAUAAAGAAAACGAUUCAGUCUCUGAUGAGAAUAGGUAUGAAGUCCUUCACCAUAUUUGGCCUCAUAUAUAGUCUUUCAAUUAUUCCCCAUGUCUGACGUCGAAUAUCUUGUGCUUGCAGACCUGCACAACAUGAUGAUGGCCACCUGAAGAAGAAUAUUCAGGGCUAUCAGGACAUUUUGAAAGGCACAAAGGUUGGCUGUGUUUGCCUUUGGAAUUUUGCAUUCCAUAUUUGUUGUUUUACUUACAGCCUCCUUAAUUAUGAUACAGAUAUCAAGAACAACGCGCAAGCCAUUCAAGGAGAGUUCUGUAGCUCCUCCUGGAACUGUACCAGCUCAAAGUUUGAAGCAUCUAAAACCGAAACCUACGCAUCCCAAGCCAUUUCGGUUGAGAACUGAUGUAAGCGAAAUACCGAACAUUUAUCCAGCAACUAUUGAUGGAAAUUCUUUGAAUUAGCUUGGGAUAAAGAAAAUGUUUUGGGUUUUUGUUUGAAAUGCAGGAAAGGGGAAUUCUAAAAGAAGCAAAUAUUGAGAAGAAGCUCCUCCAUCUUACACCAGUUAAAGAUAAUGCAACAAGGCUCCUGAAACCAAAUCCUCAGAAGAGACAUCAACCGAAAAAUGAAAUUGAUGAAACAAACGGGCCACAGGGAGAGCAAGUAUGUUCAUCACAUUAAUUGCAGACUGAGAUUGUAUGUGCAUUGGUGUUCAAAUGUGAAGGCACUAAAUAAGUACGGAUUGCAUGCUUUUUUUUUCUAGCAGCAGGAAGCUUCUAGCUUGAGGACUCCAAAGAGGAGAGGGAUUCCAACUCCAAAUAAACACACAGUAUCUUCGCAGAAGAAAGCUGUUUUACGGCGAAUGAACUCUCCAAGCAGCGAAGCGGCAGCCCAGAAGACCAAGACAGUUCUGAAGAAAGCUAAACCAUCAGUGGCUACAACAUGUACAAAAAGAAUGGAGGUGAUGGGUCAGCACUCGGUAGAAUGACUUCAGAGAAAAAACUGAAAGCAGCAACCAACCAAGUCCAGUGUUACACGAGCAUCGACAGGAAAAAAAAUUUGAGGGUUCCAAAAGAGCCCAACUUCCAUGCUGCUGCACCCUAUUUGCCUAAGAACUGCCACGAGGACGUUGGCCUGAUUGUUGGCGUAUUUGAAAACGGAUUUAAGCUGCUUUCAUUCAAUCCAUUCAUUGAAUUCUGGGUUUUUUCUGUUGCUUGUCAUAUGAUUCCAGUUACCGGGUGUGUGUGUGUGUGUUGUAACGUAUUCUUCACGGUUGUAUUGUAUUUGAUCAUACUGAAGUACUGAACUGAAUAUAUAGACCGAGACAUAUUGAUUUAGUAUUGAAUUCUUUGUACUUGUUCCAUACUUCCAUUAUUGAUAAAAAAAAUAUAGAAUGGAUUAUUUAAUGAUACCAUCAAGCAGAUCAAGCGAUUUAUGCGCAUGGACAAUCCUCGACACACAUGGAUAAUUCUUCUCUACAUCGUUCAUGCAUAUGUUAAUCUUCUCUAUAUCAUUUUAAGUUUUUCAGGGAUGUUUUUUUUUGCGUAAAGGUCAUGCUAAUCAUUCCAACAAGGAUAUAAUUACCACCUUAAAAUGUGUGACAAACCAGGUUGCUUUCAGCUGAUCAAACCUUAAAAUUACCACCUACCAACAGAGUGAACUCAAUCAUAAGCAGGCAGAUCUUACCCAAAUUAUCAACCUGACAAUAAAAUAAAAGUCAGUUGAAGAGGCCAUGUUAACUUACUAAAAAAAGGUGAUCACAUUACACUAUCCCCACUUAGGAAUUCGCAAGUCGCAAGUACUGAAACAUACACAGCUAAGCCAACUGAGGAGCAAUUUUUUCCAGGGAAAGAACAAAACUUCAUCAAAAUAUUGCAACAUUUCUCCUAUCACUAGUCAGUUUCAGUUUCAACUCAAGACAUUCUUUGGGCAGCCUCCUUUGCCAAGAGUCUUUCCUUGGCUUUCGUCUUGGCCUGAGAUUUCGAUCCCAUUAUCCCACCACCCCAUCUCUUCCUGUGCUCAUCAAACUUGUCGUUGAAGUUCGCCUGCACCAAAGUACAGCAAAUGCAUUGGUUGGAUCACUACUGUAACCACAGAAUUUAAAGAGAGAAAAGAGGCAAAACAAAAUCCCACACAGCCCUUAAUGGAGUAGUUCAAUUACCUUCACUGCCUCCAAAAUCUUGCUGAAUUCCAUUUUGUCCUCGUUCUUCACAGACGUUAAGCAUAGUGCAGCGGCUGUUUUCUUGUGGACGAUCUAUAGUUCAUUGUUAUGAGAAAUUAGCUCACACAAUGACUCUGCAAGUUGUUUCCAAAACUCACAGUAGGUAAUAAAUUUACCGCUCCAAGCCUUGACUUGCCCUUCACAAUAGCAUAGGGAACCUCCAUCUUACGACAGAGUGCAGGCAACCAAACAACUAGUUCAAUUGGAUCAACAUCAUGAGCAAUAACCACCAGCUGUGCCUUGUUCUACAUAAAAAUGAUCAGCAUAUGUAUUAUGAUGGCUGUGAUUCAACAGAAACACGACUUUUUGUGAAUGAAAGGAGUUGCUGAAAAAAGGUGACCAGCUUGAAAAAGAACACAGCAAUACCUGCUCAAUAAGGUAAGUCACAUGAUUAAGCCCGUACUUAACAACAAUGGGCUUCUUCGACUCCACAGUCUUCCCUUCGGCUUCAGCUUUUGCUUUACUAAGAAGCCUUUCCUUUUUAGCAGCUUUGUCUUCAGGGCGAUAUUUCAGCAGAAGCUUAAACAUCUGAGUAGCUGCAAAACAUUAGAUAGCAGAAGGAAGUUAAAAAAGAUCAUAAUGGACAGUAACCAUUAACCAUGAUAGAAGGAAAGAAGAAAAUCACAGAAAUCUGACCAAGGUUCUUGUCCAGUGCUUUUGUAAACUGAUUCACUGCAGGAGGACCCUGCAAACGCUGCUUCAGUAUCCUUCUUUGCCUCUGAAUACGAACGACAUGAGGCCACUUAACAAAUCUAGUCAAAUCCCUCUUUGGCGGCAGUGCACCACCAAUUCCAAAUUGCUUUGGUCGCUUCUCAAACAAAGGAUUCACAGUCUUUUCCUGCAUCCACAAGUAAAAUUUGACUUAACAGUUGGUUUGGGGUAAACUAAUCAGGAAGAAAGACAAGGCCAAUUUGUGAAUACAAUAUUCAGAAGAGUGUACAUAUCACCAGUAAUAGAGGAAGAAGAUUACUUGCCCAGCAAAGAAUCCCAAUAGAUUGAAGCAAUAGAGCAUACAAAAAUUAUGGUAUUCAAUGCGGUAAACAAACAAAAGAAGAGACUUGUAGCAUGCAAAGCACUCCAAGCGAAUAUUGGAGACAAAUUACUUACAGGUUUCUUCUUUGUAGCUACAGGGGCUUUAAUUCCUCUUUUUGGGGCCUACAGAGGGAAGAAGACCAUAGUAAAUAGAUGGAAAUACUUGCAGGAUAAGAGGGAAUGAUACUUUCAACAUAAUGAUCAAUUUUGAGGAACACAAAACCCCUAUUCUGAAAUCACUAUUGCACAACACCCUUAACAUACAGAGUCAUUAAGACAACCUUCGAACACAAUCACGGAUGAACAAGGAAAAAAAAUAAUGAGAUGCACAUUUUGAGCUAAGCUUAUGAUCCAAACUCAACAGCGCAUUUUCGUCUAUAUUAAAAGUACUAGACAACCCAAUCUACACCAUAGAUAUCGAAAGCUAACACUGUGAAAGCUAGCUGGGAAACUAGUGGACCAUCCGAGACAAACCCCAAAUGCACAGUAGUCGAUAUAAGCGGGAAAUGAAGAGGACGGUUCUCCAAAUUCAUCAGACGCAGAGAACAAAAUCGAAAGCGUAAAGCACAAUUUCCAGCUGCAUAGUCAAGAAGAAGAACGAGUAAGAAGUAACUACACGUACCAUGUCGACGUCGACGAGCAGUUGCAGAGCCAGGGAAGGAGGGAUGAGAAAGAGAUACUGACUGAUAAAGUCAAAAUCACGCAGAAAAACCUAAACCCUAACUUUGGGCUGGAGCCGGACCCAUUUCGACCUUCGCAAACGAUUUGGGUCUUUUCGGGCCGCAGUUGGGCCUUGCUUCGCCUUCACAAGCCAAAUUUUAGGUGUUGGUUUUCCCGGCAUGAAUUGGAAUCGAAAUUGAGGCGGAACUGGAUCUAAUUUCGAACUCUCAUUUAAUUUUGUUGGAUAUUUUUUUGAACGCAUAAAUGUCUGAGUCCAAUUCUAUCGAACUUGAGGUCCAAUUUCAAUUAUCAACUAAUAUGUAAUUUUGGUUCACCAAAUUUGUUUUAAUUCAAAAACGUACCAAUUCCAAUUUCUCACCCACCUAGCUUGUGCCAAAAUUUAGGCCUCUCACAAGCCAAACGUUACGUGUUGGCUUUUUCGGCACGAAUUGGAAUUGAAAUUGAGAUGGAAUUUCAAACUCUCAUUCAAUUUCGUUGGAUGUAUUUUUCGAAAGUAUAAAUGUUCGAGUCUAAUUUUAUCGGACUUGAGGCCCAAAUUCAAUUAUGAACUAAUAUGUAGUUUUGGUUCGCCAAACCCGUUUUAAUUCAGACGUACCAAUUCCAAUUUCAACCCAAUUCCAACAUCAACUGGAAUUCCUGCAAAAUUGAUAAUUCCAGCCGAAAUGAAACCAACAACCUGCAAGGAACAAUAAUAUACAUAAGAAACACCAUAAAUGACGUCAUAGGUAGGCUCAUAACUUCAAAGUGUUGAAUAACGUAAAUGAUCAAAUUCAAAGACCCUAAAAAUAAAAACUAACCCGUAGCGUGCUGGCCUUCACAUUGCUUCCCUUUUGGCAACUUUGAUUAGCCAAACCCAUAUAUCAAUCCCCACAAGCAAUUCAUGUUCUUAUAUAACACAAGUAACGUUCUAAAAUAAACAAACUCAAAUAUCAUAUCUCCCCAUCUCUAUCUAUCUGCAAUUUGAUUCCCUGAUCAUGUCUUGGGCAGCUGCCCGCGGCGGAGGAAGCUGCUCUGCCUCUUCAAACUACAACUUGAGAAACUUGGUGGACUUACUACGACGCUUUUACAACAACGGAUCAUCUUCAGCUCUCACCUGUUCCUGGAAGAGAAGCAACGUUAAUAUUGCUGCUAAUGUUGCAUCAUCAUCAGCAGCUGGUAUUAACUCAUCAACAUUAAUGGUGGCUCAUUACAAUUACAAGCAGGCGCCUACGGGGACGACAAAGCAGAUCAGAGGAUUGCAGUUGAUCAGCUGCAACAACUUGCUGAUCAAGGGCCGCUUAUUUUUGCAUAAUUCGGCUGUUGACAACAACAAGUUUGCGGCUGCCAGCACUCCACCAUCGUCGUUAGUGCCUGCAUCACUUCCACGGCCCAAAUGGAAUUUCACGGGUUGGUAUGGAACCAUCCAUCAUUAUCUGAUUGGUCAAAUAAUAUGAAAGUGGCUAUAUGCAGUCCAUUUCUUUUUUUUUCUUCUUUGAAUUAUCUGCCUCAUACGGAUGCAGGGUAAAGUGGGCGCUGGGAGCAAUCUUUACGAUACUCUUCCCUUUCUGGAAGCAAAAAUGGGAAAGGAUGAAAGCAAUUGGAAGUAAGAAUAAUUACCAUCAUCUUUAUGCAUUAUUUUCCCAUAACUCUUGUCUUUUUGAAGCUUGCUAAUUGUAUACCCUCUGUCAUCGUCGGAGACUUAAUUGAUUAUAUAAUUGUGACAGGGGAGGCAGAGAUAGUGGCAGAGGAGAUGGAAAGAGCGGCGGAGGUUGUGGAGAAAGUGGCGACGGUGGCGGAAAAUAUGUCUGCCCAACUGGCUGAAAGUCUUUCGUCUACUAAUGAAGAACUAAAGGAAGCAGCUUUAUUUGCAGAGAGGAUAUCCAAAACAACUGCUCACGACGCUCAUGUAGCCAGAGACUUGUUACACCAGGUUGAUAAGUUGGCGCAUGAUUUUGAUGACUUGGAGAAGAUGGUGCAUGCAACCCAACCAAAACCUUGCUCACCGUAAUGCUCAAUGAGUACUUGAAUAUUAUUUGUAUACAUGUACGUACGUGUAAAUAAUUCUUUCUGUGUAAGUAGACAUUGGUGAGGUGAAUCUUCUUUGAGAUUCUUGUCAUUCAGUGAGUCGAAUAAUAUUCUUUUUUUAUAUAUAAAAUAAAAUUACGGAUUAAUGUCUCCUUUAUAAAAAUUUCGAAUCGUGCAGAAGCGGAUUUAGGGGUGACUCACCUCCUGUUUUUUAUCUGGGCUCAUGCUAUCUUUUUUUUUAUAUUUAGAAUGACAAAUUCAGUUAUAAAUUAUAAUUUUUUUUAUUUCAUUCCAAUAAUAUUUCAAAUUUGAUCACAUAUACUCUUUUAAAAUAGGCCUAAGAUAAAAUUGGAUUGAACAAAAUUUAUAAAAUGCAAAAUUAAAAUAAUCCAACCACAAUUAUAAGUUACUUCCAAUCCAUCAAUAAAUGAAGGCAUAUAAACCAACCUAAAGCUACCCAAACCCAAUGUUCAAAAGCCUUAAACCUCCACGAAGUUCAAUUGUCCAAAGCUAUUAGUUUAUACCUUAUUUNNNNNNNNNNNNNNNNNNNNNNNNNNNNNNNNNNNNNNNNNNNNNNNNNNNNNNNNNNNNNNNNNNNNNNNNNNNNNNNNNNNNNNNNNNNNNNNNNNNNNNNNNNNNNNNNNNNNNNNNNNNNNNNNNNNNNNNNNNNNNNNNNNNNNNNNNNNNNNNNNNNNNNNNNNNNNNNNNNNNNNNNNNNNNNNNNNNNNNNNNNNNNNNNNNNNNNNNNNNNNNNNNNNNNNNNNNNNNNNNNNNNNNNNNNNNNNNNNNNNNNNNNNNNNNNNNNNNNNNNNNNNNNNNNNNNNNNNNNNNNNNNNNNNNNNNNNNNNNNNNNUAUUCAAUAUAUAUUAUAUAUAAUAAUUGUCUUUUUUUUCCUGAAAAAGAAAUAUAAAAAUAGGAAAAAGGCGGCUUGUCUGUGUUUCAUUGUGAUACAAGACAAGUCUACCACCAUAUAUAAUACUAUGAUCAUCAUGAAACUAGCUACAUACACAGCAACGAAAACGACAACCAAUGAAAAGGGAGGCCAUCAAUCGCAACUAAAAGCACAAGACAAGUACGAUACCAGAUGGCCCUCUGCAGCCACCUUUUCUUCCAAUUACUCUCUUUUUUUUUUUUUAUAUACGCUGCAAAUUGCAGGGCUCCACUUCCUUUGCUUCUUGCCACAAUGAUCGACUCCACGUGAGAUAACUACAAAAACACCCCAGAAUCCAAGCAUAUUUAUACAUAUGAUCGGGAAGUGCAGGCGGUAUUCGUUGUAGGUUUGAUGAUCCAAACUCCUGUGUGACGUCAAAAGGGCCGAGUCAUCCGAGCUCAGUUGGAAUGAGUUUUGUUCUUCGGUUGGGUUAUUCAUUUCAUCUUUUAUAAUUUGAGGGAGUUUUUUUUUAUAUACGCGCAUGCAUGCAAACUUCCUUAUAUAACAGGCCCUUUAAUUUAAGUUGUCGGCUGGUUGGAAUUAAUAAUCAAAGUACAAUGCAUAUAAUUAAAGAUCAAUUACACGUAUUUGUUUGUGUUUCUUUCUUACCCAUGCAUAUUAAUUUGAUUAUAUUUUAACAAAGAAACUCAUUAAUAAAGGGUCAAUAUAAUUAAUUAUAAGGCAAACUAAUGUCGUCAAGAUCAUCCAACGACAGGAACACUUCAUCCAAGCAUGACAGCCCCGUCGACCCAUCCUCGUCAUCGUCACUCGAGUUUCGCUCAUACACUCUGCAAACUACCCACUUGUUGUAGUCCUGCAAAAAAUAUAUAUAUAUAAAAAUUAUGCCCAAACAAGUAAGAUUAAAAUACCCAACCUUUCAGAUUAAGCUAUCCAUGAUCAAGGGAACAAAUUAAGGUCAAUGCAUCAGUUGUCCUACACGUGUCAAACGCUUGAAAAUAAAGAUUUGUGGGGGCCUACCGGUCUGGACCGUGAUCGUGUACUUCUGGACGACCGACUGGUACUAGAACUGGUCCCAGUGGUAGUAGAGGAGGAAUCAGGGAGACGAAACUCCUCCAUGAUCCAGUUAGUUUUGACAUCUCCCCCCAAGAAGAACAUCAAAUACUUCUUUACUCCAACCCUCCUGUUGUUGCCACUUGAUGAAAUGAUAGGCUCCUCCAUGCCUAUGGUUUUCCAAAGCCCAUUAUCGGUAACCCGGUUCAGAGUUUUCCUGCUGUAGAAGUACCACUGAUUCCCUUCUUCCAACGCCUUGCCUAAUAUUAUCCAUCAUAAACCAAUAUUAUAUUAGUAAUAUAAAAAUCAAUAUGAACCAUCCUAAGUACAACUCGAGUCAUUAAGGUAUAUAUAUGGUAGUACGUACCAUGGAGGUCCCAAGGAUCGUAAGGG
rnacentral:lncRNA from 1 species